GAGGUCUAAUAAACAAAAAUAUUUAAUAUAAUGCAAAAUGAAAAAACAAAACCAGGAAGAAUUUACGUUCUCAAACGAAAAACCAGCUCAAAGUGCAAACGCGGCGCAGAAACUAAUAAUCAGAAAUAAACUAGCAGCUAAAGCUCCUUCGGUUAAACAUUUUUGGAAAAUCUUCGAAAAUACAACCAACGAGACAACCAAGCUAACGAUAGUAAUUUGUUAAUUUGGCGCUGAAAAUUAAUUUUCAUUGUACAAGCCAUAGUGUCACAUGUGUUUUGGUUCUGUUCGACCAUUCAAAAGUGAUAAGAAGACAAACAGCGAAAAUUGAAAAGUAACAGUGUUAAGUGACAUAACAAAAAAGGUAAAUAAAAAUACCAGCAAAGUGUGUUCAGCUGCAUGCAGUGAGAUAAAAGUGAAGUGAAAAGUGUAGCAGAGUGAAAAUUUAUGUUAUUAGAGAGCAAGCACAGCACAGCGUGAGUGAGAGCGCAGAACUAAAAUAAAUACCUACAUACUUGCAUUCAUUAAAAUUCCGGCCAGCGGCCGAAACUGCUUAGUAAUAC